AUUGAACGCUGGCGGCAUGCCUUACACAUGCAAGUCGAACGGUAACAGGUCUUCGGAUGCUGACGAGUGGCGAACGGGUGAGUAAUACAUCGGAACGUGCCUAGUAGUGGGGGAUAACUACUCGAAAGAGUGGCUAAUACCGCAUGAGAUCUACGGAUGAAAGCAGGGGAUCGCAAGACCUUGUGCUACUAGAGCGGCCGAUGGCAGAUUAGGUAGUUGGUGGGAUAAAAGCUUACCAAGCCGACGAUCUGUAGCUGGUCUGAGAGGACGAUCAGCAACACUGGGACUGGGCCACGGCCCAGACUCCUACGGGAGGCAGCAGUGGGGAAUUUUGGACAAUGGGCGAAAGCCUGAGCCAGCAAUGCCGCGUGCAGGAUGAAGGCCUUCGGGUUGUAAACUGCUUUUGUACGGAACGAAAAGCCCCGGGUUAAUACCCUGGGGUCAUGACGGUACCGUAAGAAUAAGCACCGGCUAACUACGUGCCAGCCGCCGCAGUAA
rnacentral:rRNA from 1 species